GACGAACACUGGCGGCGUGCCUAAUACAUGCAAGUAGGACGCAGUUGCGAACGGGUGAGUAACGCGUAGGUAACUACCUAUUAGAGGGGGAUAACUAUUGGAAACGAUAGCUAAUACCGCAUACUAGUAGAUGGACCUGCGUUGUAUUAGCUAGUAGGUAGGGUAAUGGGCUACCUAGGCAACGAUACAUAGCCGACCUGGAAGGGUGGUCGGCCCACCUGGGAAUGAGACACGGCCCAGGCUCCUACGGGAGGCAGCCGGAGGGGAUCAUCGGCAAUGGGGGGAACGCUGACCGAGCAAAGCCGCGUGAGUGAAGAAAGUUUUCGGGUCGUAAAGCUCUGUUGUUAAGGAAGCGUUACUUAACCAGAAAGGGACGGCUAACUACGUGCCAGCAGCCGCGGUAAUAC
rnacentral:rRNA from 1 species